rnacentral:rRNA from 1 species
AGAAUCAACGCUGGCGGCGUGCCUAACACAUGCAAGUCGCACGAGAAAGGGUAGCAAUACCUGAGUACAGUGGCGCACGGGUGAGUAACACGUGAAUAAUCUACCUCCGAGUGGGGAAUAACUGAGAGAAAUCUUAGCUAAUACCGCAUAAUACCCACGGGUCAAAGCAGCAAUGCGCUUGGAGAGGAGUUCGCGGCAGAUUAGUUAGUUGGCGGGGUAAUGGCCCACCAAGACGAUGAUCUGUAUCCGGCCUGAGAGGGCGCACGGACACACUGGAACUGAAACACGGUCCAGACUCCUACGGGAGGCAGCAGUGGGGAAUUUUGCGCAAUGGGGGAACCCUGACGCAGCAACGCCGCGUGGAGGAUGAAGCCCCUUGGGGUGUAAACUCCUUUCGAUCGGGAAGAUAAUGACGGUACCGAUAUAAGAAGCCCGGCUAACUUCGCGCCAGCAGCCGC